AGAUUUGAAAUUAAAAAGAAGCUGAAAACAGCGAAGAAGAAGGAGAAAGAGGAGAAGAAAAAGAACCACGAGGAAGAACAGAAGAAGAAGAGGGAGAGAUCGUCCAGCGGCCAUCAUGAAGACAGAACUCAUCAGGACCAGCAAGUGGUUAUGUCCCACAACAAGGAGAGGAGGACUAAACGGGAUGAGAAGCUGGAUAAAAAGUCUCAGGCCAUGGAGGAACUGAAAGCGGAGAGAGAGAAGAAGAAAACGAGGACAGGUCUGUUUGGCUGUCUUGAGCUCCUGGCGAAACGGCUGCCCCUGAAAACCAGCGAGGUUUACCGGACGAUGAGGAGGGAGGAAGAGGGAGGAGGACGACGACAAAUCAUCCGUAAAGAGCGAUCGCAGUUCACACUCUUCAUCUUAUUCCGAAGACGAAGAGAAAGAGGAGACGCCACCAAAGUCUCAACCCAGUGGUCGCUACCAGACGAACUGAACCGCGUCCGUCUGUCCCGCCACAAACUGGAACGCUGGUGUCACAUGCCGUUCUUCCAGAAGACGGUCAGCGGCUGCUUCGUACGGAUUGGCAUCGGGAACAGUAGUAGCAAACCAGUUUACAGGGUGGCUGAAAUAGUUGACGUGGUAGAGACUGCUAAAGUGUACCAGUUGGGAACGACCCGGACCAACAAAGGACUACAGUUACGCCAUGGUGGUGACACCCGAGUCUUCAGACUGGAGUUUGUGUCUAAUCAGGAGUUCACAGAAAACGAGUUCAUGAAGUGGAAAGAGGCGAUGAUCAUAGCCAGUAUGCAGGUUCCCACUCUAGAUGAGAUCAAUAAGAAGGAACAGGCCAUCAAAGAGGCUUGUAACUACAAAUUCAACGACAAAGACAUCGAGGACAUUGUAAAAGAAAAGACAGGUUCGAAGGCGCCUUCCAACUACGCCAUGAAGAAAACAUCACUACUCAAAGAUAAGGCCAUGGCAGAGGAGAGUGGAGAAGGAGACCGAGCCAAAGAGAUCCAGGACCAGCUGAAUGAGUUGGAGGAGAGGGCCGAGCAUCUGGACAGACAGAGGACCAAAAACAUCUCUGCCAUCAGCUACAUCAACCAGAGGAAUCGGAGCUGGAACAUCGUGGAGUCUGAGAAAGCCCUAGUGGCUGAAGGACAGAAUGCCAAGAUGCAGAUGGACCCGUUUACUAGACGACAGUGCAAACCAACCAUGGUGUCUAACGCCAGAGACCCUUCAGUCCAUGCAGCUAUCCUCCAACACCUCAAUGAGAAGUACGGAGAAGGGUCAGGCAAAGAGAUGGACUUGGAGUUUGAGAUGGGCAGGGGAGCAGGACAGGCUGCUCUCAAAGUCAUCGACCCGACAAAGAACACCAGCGACCUGUCAGAGGACCUCUUUAAAGUUCACGACUUUGACGUCAAGAUUGACCUACAGGUUCCCAACGCAGAAGCCAAGUCUCUGUCAGUGAGCGCCAACACCCUGGCAGUGAAGGACGGUGCUCCACGUAGGUCUCUCAACCUGGAGGACUACAAGAAGAGGAGGGGCUUGAUCUAAAGAACUACAGGAAGUAAAUGAGGGGCUUCAACGACUGAUCAAAUGGCCUAAAACCUCAGUCAGAACCACCUGCAUGUUGGUUGGCCAUUCGCCCCAGGGCACCAGUGUGUGUUUGAGGGAAGAGAGAGAGAGAGAGAGUGUGUGUGUGAGAGAGAUGUGUGACCGUAUGCUUGAGUGUGUGUGAGAGAGGCUGUCCAUCUUAAAACAAUAGGAAAUAAUAAUUAAGAGAAGACAGAAGACAACUUUUUUUUUUUUUUUUCUUUUCCCUCGAAGGUUUUCUCUUAGACAGUUGUUGACCUUUUUAUUUUAUUUUUCUCUCGUUUAUUAUGUGGUAAAAAUUGUACUUGGAAUUGUGUUUAUUUUUCUUUUGUAAUUUCUAAGUUUUUUUAUAAAUAAAUCUAACGUUGGUUCUCCCUCAUAUGGAUCUGAAGUUCACUCUUUUGGUGUCCAGUUCUUUUGCAAGGGCAUAGUGGUUGUGGAUUCUUACCUUGGCCAACUCUGUCUUGUAAGACUUAGAUUGACAUGAUUUGAAGUUAUUGGGACUGUCAACAUUUAUUGGGGUACAAUCUUGAUUCCCGCCCCCCCCCCCCUGUUUCAGACACGGACUGUAUUUUCUUCGUACAUGAUUUAGGUUUUCCCCUGACCUAAGAGGUUGAGGGCAGUACCACGUUCUCCAGCUGACCCGUUCUCUUUCUCAGACAGCAGGGCCGGCUCGUUAUCUGCCUGGCUACUGGACAGCACUUUGUAAAGUCUACAAAAAAAAAAAAAAAAAAAAAUAUUUAAAAAUGAAUUUACAUGGAUCACAGAGAGAAUUGUUUAUUUUCUUUUUGGUACCCUUAUCUCUCUCUUUUCCCUGGAGCAGAUUCUAAGUGUUAUCGAUCCUUAAACAGUUCCUGUAUUGAUGUGGCAUGCCAUGGAAAUAAUUCCCAUUUGCAGUGCGGCAGAAUAAAGAGAGAGACUGUUUCGUAA